rnacentral:rRNA from 1 species
AGGGAAUCUUCCACAAUGGACGAAAGUCUGAUGGAGCAACGCCGCGUGAGCGAAGAAGGCCUUCGGGUCGUAAAGCUCUGUUGUUAGGGAAGAACAAGUAUCGGAGUAACUGCCGGUACCUUGACGGUACCUAACCAGAAAGCCACGGCUAACUACGUGCCAGCAGCCGCGGUAAUACGUAGGUGGCAAGCGCUGUCCGGAAUUAUUGGGCGUAAAGCGCGCGCAGGCGGUCCUUUAAGUCUGAUGUGAAAGCCCACGGCUCAACCGUGGAGGGUCAUUGGAAACUGGGGGACUUGAGUGCAGAAGAGGAAAGCGGAAUUCCACGUGUAGCGGUGAAAUGCGUAGAGAUGUGGAGGAACACCAGUGGCGAAGGCGGCUCUCUGGUCUGUAACUGACGCUGAGGCGCGAAAGCGUGGGGAGCAAAC